CCAUUUUUAUGGGUGACACGAGGAAAUCCACAUUGGCAACCACGUGGAGCCAGUGGGGGCUCACCCAUCGUGUGGGGCCAAACGGGAACCCACCCAAUCACGUGGCAUCAUUGGUCUACGUGGACAUCGCGAGGGGCCAAAGGGGACCCACCCAAUCAUGUGGCUGUACGGCCCGCCUCCUGGCUCUAAUACCAUGUGGAAUUUUCAGGUCGACGGGCCGAGGGCCUACUCCAACAACACUGAUAUUGUCCCUACUUAACUACCUGCACAAUCCUCAAGUGUGGGGUUUUAUCACAAAAGGCCUCAGUGUUAGUUAGAGUAGGGUAAAUCUAUAUAAAGUACUCUUCUCUUCUUCCUCUGUCCGAUGUGGGACAAAUGAGGGUUCCAACAAGUUUGUUCAAAUUUUUCUAUAAAUAAUGUUCAAAAUAAAUUACAAGGAAUAAGGAUAAGUAUAAUAAUGUGGUGCCAACAUGAUUAGAAUCAACAUUAACCUGAUCUCAGGUAGGAUUCAGAUUCUUUGCCCUUCUAUUUCUCUGCUCUCCUAUCCUCUUCUUUCUCAGAGCCGUUCAAAGCAUUUCCAAUAUGCAAUUCACAACAUUUUUGCAGCCUUAACGGGCAUAAUUAAACACUUGAGGGAUUCAACCAUGUUGACAUGACAUAAUCUUGAGCGUUCAAAUAGAAGGGUAAAGAAAUAUGAGGAGAGAGAAUCCGAAACCGUGUAUCAGUUUGUCACUCUUCAGGUGGUUGACAAAAUCAACCGCCAUGACUCCCCUAGCAGAAACAACUCCAUGUUAUUUUUACAACAAGAAACAAAUAUCCCAAACAAAAAGGAGAGUUUUAUAUAUUUUUUUUCUUUUUUAAAGAUCAAGGAGAAUUUAAGUUUGGUGGUAAAUCGGUGAUAUAAAGUUUCGCCACAAUUGGGUUUACGUAUUUAUCAACUUGUGACUCACGUAAUGUCAUCAAUUUAUGGAUAAAAUUUCAUUUUUACUCAUUUCCCUGACUUUAACUAUUGACAGGAUUGAGACUCGAAAUUUAAAGUCUAAGCUUCAAGUGUUGGUUUUAAAAUCUAAACCCUAAUAGACUAGGUUAAUAAAUAUUGUAGAGUAUUAGGUUUAUCGUUUGGCUUCCCUUGCUAAAAUUUGUAAAUGUUACCACACAUACUCAUAAUUUAGAGUUAGAGUACAAUGCUAAUCUGAGAUUACUACUGGAUUGAACUUGUCAAAAACACUAGCCCUCUUCACUGCAAAAGGUUUGAACCAUACAUUUGCAUAUGCAUAUCAAGCUUAUUUUUUUUCAGAUUUUUUUUGUUUAGUGUAGUUGUCUAAUUAGAAAUUCCUUUUGUUGUCCAACUAUUUAGGCACGCAAAUUAAGACAGCCCACAUGGGUCAUCUGACACCCUUUCCCAUUCGUGGAUUUCUCACCUUGUGUCCCCUGGUUCCUCUUGUCUGAAACAUCCAACUCUUUCAUUAAAAGAGGUUCCAAAGUUUCAUUUGUAGUUGGCUAGGUUAUUCACGUUUCAAGAAAAAUAGUGCAUUUAGCCUAGAGCUACCUCCUAAGCUUCCAAACCGAAACCCUAGCCACAAAGCCAUCUCAUGCACAAACACCCAAUCAUUGCAUAUUAGGGUUGCAUUAUAUUCAUGGUUUUGUAUUAAGUUAUUGGUCUAAACCUAUGUUUCAUAUCCUUCAUAGACCGAUUUUUUGGAUUCAUGUUAGGUUCUUCUUUAACUGUUUGAUUGGAGAACCUGACUGGUCAUUUGAGUUCUUAAUUCAUAAGCAUAUUAUAACAUCAUAUCUUUGAUCGUGUUGAUCUCGGUGCUACAAGGUGAAGAGCUCAGGAGGAGCUGCCAUCUCGUGGACCGAAAGAAUUCAUCUUGUGUAAGACAAGGUUAUACGAAGGUAAAGCUUCUCUGUAGAUAGGGAUUUAGGAAUUGAGCUAGUGUGGUCUUUGUAUGAACUUUGUUUACACUAGUGGAUUGGACUCAAUGGAGAGUCCUUGGUUUUUUAACCAAGAGGUGAGUUUUUUUGGCCAAAUAACCAUUAGAGGUAAACAUUGUAGGGUUUGCUAGUAUUGACACUUUGUUAACCAAGUAAACAUAACUCAAGAAUUAAGUUUAAAACAUAACUGAAGAUCACACUGCAUUGUUUUAGCAUUAUAAGUUUGCUUGGUUUAUAUACUUGUGAGCACUUAACAAUCUGUACUCACUUGACUAGUAUGUUUAACUAGUCAGUACAAUUGGUUUCAAAGUUUUUAUUGUAAGGUAAUCCACCUUGUACCAAUUUCAAAUACAACUAGUGUUAAAGUUAACAUAAUAAAAGUGAAGUUUUUUUUUAAGAUGUCAUGUCUUUCUACAUGACAGAAAAAAUGCUCUAAAUCUAUUACUAUUACGGAUCAAACUUUAAAGUUAAUAAGAGACCAUAUAUAUGUCACUUAGUUAAAAUACCACAUAAAUAAGGUUGUUGCUAAAGUGAUACUCAAUUCACUUUAAACAAUAAACCAUCAUGAGGAAGCCCAAUGGUUGAAGACGAUUUGAAGCUCGAAUUUCACAUGGCUCGUUCUGAGUUCGAUUCUUAACGAUAGUGAAUUGCAUGAUGGUAGCCAGAAGGAGGCUGAAAUGCUUCUAUGAGUCUUCCCGGCCCUCGAAAUGAUG
rnacentral:lncRNA from 1 species